UUUAUUUUUAUUUAUUUAUGAUAGACAUAAAGAGAGAGAGGCGCAGAGACACAGGCAGAGGGAGAAGCAGGCUCCUUACCGGGAGCCAGAUGCGGGACUUGAUCCCGGGAUUCCAGGAUCGCGCCCUGGGCCAAAAGCAGGCGUGAAACCACUGAGCCACCCAGGGAUCCCCAAGUUAUUUUUCUUUAUUCUGCCUCCAGUACAAGGUACUUGGAAAAAGUUCCUCCUGUCCUUCUCUGCCACUAAAUAACUAUAUAUAUUGAUAAUAGUGUACACAGUUAAUGGGAAUAUUACAUUGUUUCGUAUUUUUACUGUGGAGACCAAAGCAUGAUAUUUCAGGUCUGGGUAUAAUUGAAAAUAUGCAUUCUUCUGAGAAAUUGAUUUCUUUUAUAAACAAAAUGCAAAUGCCUUAAAUAUUUCUUCAUUUUAAUGUGAUAAAUAGAAUUGCUCUUAAAGCCAUAGUCUGAUAUUCAAGAUAAGAGCAUACUGGUACUGAUUUUAAGAACUUUAGAAAAUAUUGCUUGUGGGCAAAAUAAAGACAGAGGAAUGUUUAAAGCCAACUAUUCUCCUUACUGUUUUAGUUUUUACCUUGUUUUCCAUUUUCAGGGAACAAAGAGCAUGUAUCUCAGAUACUAAAAAUAUUCCUACGAAAGCUUUUAAUUUUGGGGUUUUAAAAAAUAUAUUUUAUUUAUUUAUUUGAGAUACAGCAAGAGAGAUAGCAUGUACUGGGUGGGGAAGAGGCGGGUAGGAGAAAGAGAAAGAGAAGCAAGCUCCUUACUGAGCAGGGAGUCUGACAAGGGGCUUGAUUCCAGGACCCCAGAAUCAUAACCAAAGCCCAAGAAAGACACUUAACUGACUGAGCCACUCAGGUGCAACAGACUUUCAGCUUUUCAGGGCUAGUGGUCAACUAUUGCUUUCUUCCUGUGCGUGAAAUGCCUAGAGAAAAUGACAUCUUUAGCUUAGUUAAGAAAUAUAGGAUAGAAAAUGCUUAGGCCAAUUUAUUCAUAUCCCUCCAAUAUUAAUUGUAUAGUUGAUAUCUAUGUAGAUUUUAGCAAUUUGUUGAGCAACUCACCUGGUUUCAAAAUGAGAUCUAGUUGUUCUCAAACUUUUCAGUCUCAGAAACCACUUCACAUUCUUAAAAAUUAUUGAGAGGCCAAAAGAGAGAAUUUUUUUUUUAAGAUUUUAUUUUUUUUUAUUCAUGAGAGACAGAGAGAGAGGCAGAGGGAGAAGCAGGCUCCCUGGGAGGAGGAGCCUAAUGCAGGACCUGAUCCCAGGAGCCCUGGAUCAUGAGCUGAGCCAAAGGCAGACACUCAACCACAGAGCUACCAAAUGCCCUGAGAGCAAACUUUUGUAGGGAUAUCUGUUGCCCUACAAAUACUGGAGAUGAAAACACAUUUUCAGAAUAUUAAUUAAUUUUAAAAUAAAAAUAAGUUCAUCAUAUGUUAAAAUAAGAACCAUAUUAAAAUAUUUUCUUUAAAAAGAAGAGCAGCAGUAUUCUACAUUUUUGCAAAAUCUCUUUAAUCUUUGAUUUAUGGAAGACCACUGAAUCCUCCUAUCUGAUAGUGCAUGAAAAGUGGAAUUGGUAAUUUAGAGGGUGAGUUGGUUAUCUGUCAAAAGAAUUUCAGAGACAGUCAUUUGAAUAAAAGGACUGUGUCUCUUGCACACCAGUUUAUCCUCAUAGUCUGUUACAACGUUUGGCAUGUAGUAGAGGGCCAGAUGAUACUUGGUGCAUAAUUAAACUAUCUUGCAGUGGGUUAAGAUACAAACAGGAGGCAAAGAUAGAGAUUCAGGAAGGACAGACACUUCCUUCAAGGCACAUGGUUGAGAAAAGAGAAAUGAGGUCUUAGGUGUGUGGAGGCAGGAUCAGCAGAGGACUUUUUAAAAAGUAUUUCUAUGUGAGGGUAAACAAUAGCAAACAAAAAACAGCAGAGAGAAGUUGAGAACACAGGUAAGAAAUGGGAUGACUGAGGGAUCUAAUGGGGGGCAGGGGAUAAGAUAUGUGUCAUCUAGCAGAGCAUUUCAAAUUUGAAUGAGCAUAGGAGAUGCCAGAUCUUGUCAAAAUAGAGAUUCUAAUUCAGUCAUUAGAUAUAGGGCCUGAGAUUAGGCAUUUCUAACAAGCACCCAAGCUCCUGGUCUGAGGACUCAGCUUGGUGUCAGUAGGUGAUUCUAGAACCCAGUUGAAGAGGUAAACCAUGGGAAGGAGAAUUAAACAUUUGUGGAAUUUGGAGAUCCUGGCUGAUGGAAUUUUUUUUAAGAUUUUAUUUAUUUAUUUAAUGAAAAAAAGACAGAGACAGAGACAGAGACACAGGCAGAGAAGCAGGCCCCAUGCAGGGGGCCCCGAAGCGGGACUUGAUCCUGGGUCUCCAGGAUCACACCCUGGGCUGAAGGUGGCACUAAACCACUGAGCCACUUGGGCUGCCCUGAUGGAACUUUUUAAGAGAGUUUUUACCCCCUAAUACCCAAUUAGUAUCCUUUCCCACUAAAUGGUUAUGAGAAUUGCUUCACUAGAACAUUUCUGGCCUUAGUAAUUUAGAAUCUUAGUGUUCUUAGGGCACCCGGGUGGCUCAAUUGGUUAAGUGUCUGACUCGAUUUUGGUUCAGGUCAUGAUCCUGGGGUCAUGAGAUUAAGCCCUGUGUUGAGCACCGUGAUGGGUGUGGAGCCUGCUUGAGAUUCUCUCUCUCCUUCUCCCGCUGCCCCUCCUGCCUCCCUCUUAAUAAAAAAAAAAAAAAAACAAAGAGAAUCUCAGUUUCUUCACAAUGCUUGAUUGACAGCAUGAUAGUGAGGUCAUGGUAUAAAAUACAGUGAUUCUACAAAACAGUUUAAAUGUCAUUGAUUCAGGAACAGAGAUCAGGAUUUGGUGUUAGACAUAGUUUGAUUCUUGUUCCUGUCUUUUUGUGGUUAGUCUUGGGCAAAUGAUGAACACAUUAGAUAAAAGUACUUUUAGGUGAAUUCUUGUGAGAAUUAUAAAUGUAGUACAUAAAAGCCAGUACUCAAAAAUGAUAAUGAUUAUUAUCACAAUCACGAAGAGUACAAUAUGCUGUAUUGAACAUAAUUUUAAAGUUUGUUUCAUGAAUCAUCAGACUCACCUAAUUUUCUAAAUAAUUUGAAAUAAGAUGGAAUGAAUAGAUCACAUUUUCAUUUCCGUGCACAAGGGAACUGCGCAUACUUCUUAUGUUACUCAGAAAUGGUUUAACUUUUUUUUUAAAAAAAAUCUCAAAUAGCUGAAGUUAGCAGACGUACAAUUUAGCAAGGAUGAUUGGAAUUUUGGUCUUUCCUGUAAUAAUACUAUACCAAAGCAUACUACUCAUUAGGAAAACAUUUUUAUCUGAAUCUUACUCUUAAA
rnacentral:lncRNA from 1 species